rnacentral:lncRNA from 1 species
GCGCGCCCGGUCUCCCGGAGGGGCUCACAGCGGGACGCAGAUACGCUGGCGGGUCCGUGUGUCUGUCCCCCAAGUCCCGGGCCCGGAGCGGGUGGAGGCCCGGGUCGCCCAGCGCCAGCGGCGAGGACCACGGAGCGAGGCGCCCAUGCACUGUCCUCGCGAGACUUUGAUCUCAGCGUCAGCUUCCGCGUUUCCAUGGCUUUCUGUACGCGAACACAUGCUCGGGCUCCUCGUUUCCUAGACCAGACCCGGAGUCAGCGCUCAGUCCAGAGACACGGUGCAGACUGGCGGACCCAGCGCCCGGCGAGUGGUGCUCCCGCUGUUUCCAGGCCUCUCAUGUGGGCAGAACCAGGCAGUGGAAACAGUCUCCACACCUACUUAUCAUCUCUCUAUCAUCUACCUCUCUGGCUGGCUGUCUACCCACCCACCAUCACCACCUAUCAUUGGUCUGUCAUCUGUCUAUCCAUCCAUCUGUCUGUCCAUCAUCUGUAGCUCCAUCUCUCCAUCCACCCAUCAUCUGCCAUCCAUAUGUCUCUGUCUCCAUCCACCAUCUAUUGAUCUGUCUACCCAUCACUCAUCUGUCACGCACCUAUCCACCUACCCAUCUGCAUCUGUUUCCUUCUCUUGUUGGAGGUGGGUGAACCUGGGGGACCCAAGGACCUGGCCUUGCUGCGCACACCUCUGCCCUGAGCGGGCCCUGGUCUCUCCCCUGGUGAGAUAAGUUGCAGCAUGGAUGAGAACCUCCCUUCCUUUCUUGUCUCAGGAUCACCUAGUUUUUACCUAAGGUUUUCAGCCUUCGUCUCAUUUCCUUCUUCCCACAGCCAGCAUCUUUGGUCCCAGCGCAGCCUGGACGGUAGAACCAGGAUGUGCAUAAUCACUCCGUGGUUUUCUCUUGAGUCAUCAGGCCGGCAGUCUGAGAACAGCAAAGCCACUCAGGACCACCAGCAGCAUCACUGGAAACAAAUGCCCGGACCUUGCAGAGCAGCCAGAGGGCCGGGGCCCCAGCUGACGCCAGGUCCGGGGAAGCAGAGCCUGAGACAAGGACUCAGAUGUGGCAGAGGAGGCAGUGAGAGAUGUCAGAGGAGUCAGACAGAGCCAUCCAGGCACAUUCAACCGCACGGGACGCUGAGAGCCGUUUGGGGGAUGCCUGGUGUCCGCACCCUCCCAUGUGAAUGCGGUGUGAGCCAUGUGCGUCCAGCAACGCAUGGCCUCUGCAUGGGCAGCCUCCGGGGGGCCCUGUCACCCUACUUGCUGGUCCGAGGUGCUGUCCCUGCCCUACCUGAGCCGUCCUCGGCCUGGACCCUGCAGAGCAAAGAGGAGCUGUCUUGGGCAUACACAGAAUUACAGUAGAGUUACAGUAUGUAAACGACAAGGCUUCCUUUUUAAAAGUAAUUUUU